UACGUAGGGGGCAAGCGUUGUCCGGAUUCAUUGGGCGUAAAGAGCGUGUAGGCGGCCAGAAAAGUCCGCUGUGAAAACUCGAGGCUCAACUUCGAGCUGUCGGUGGAAACUUUCUGGCUAGAGUCCGGAAGAGGAGAAUGGAAUUCCUGGUGUAGCGGUGAAAUGCGCAGAUAUCAGGAAGAACACCCGUGGCGAAGGCGGUUCUCUGGGACGGUACUGACGCUGAGACGCGAAAGCCAGGGGAGCAAACGGG
rnacentral:rRNA from 1 species